rnacentral:rRNA from 1 species
AUACAGAGGGUGCGAGCGUUAAUCGGAAUUACUGGGCGUAAAGCGCGCGUAGGCGGCUUGGUCAGUCGGAUGUGAAAGCCCCGGGCUUAACCUGGGAAUUGCAUUCGAUACUGCCAGGCUAGAAUGUAGUAGAGGGAAGUGGAAUUCAGGGUGUAGCGGUGAAAUGCGUAGAGAUCCUGAGGAACAUCAGUGGCGAAGGCGGCUUCCUGGACUAAUACUGACACUGAGGUACGAAAGCGUGGGGAGUAAACAGGAUUAGAUACCCCGGUAGUCC